ACGAACGCUGGCGGCGGGCUUAACACAUGCAAGUCGAACGGAAAGGCCCUGCUUUUGUGGGGUUCUCGAGUGGCGAACGGGGGAGUAACACGUGAGUAACCUGCCCUUGACUUUGGGAUAACUUCAGGAAACUGGGGCUAAUACCGGAUAGGAGCUCCUGCUGCAUGGUGGGGGUUGGAAAGUUUCGGCGGGUGGGGAUGGACUCGCGGCGUAUCAGCUUGUUGGUGGGGCAGUGGCUUACCAAGGCGUUGACGGGUAGCGGGCCUGGGAGGGUGACCGGCCACAUUGGGACUGCGAUACGGCCCAGACUCCUACGGGAGGCAGCAGUGGGGAAUAUUGCCCAAUGGGCGGAAGCCUGAUGCAGCAACGCCGCGUGCGGGAUGACGGCCUUCGGGUUGUCAACCGCUUUCGCCUGUGACGAAGCGUGAGUGACGGUAAUGGGUAAAGAAGCACCGGCUAACUACGUG
rnacentral:rRNA from 1 species